rnacentral:tRNA from 1 species
GCCUGGCUGGCUCAGUUGGUAGAGCACAUGAGUUUCAAUCUCAGGGUUGUGAGUUCAAGCCCCACAUUGGGUA